AAAAAAACCAGAAAAGAAAUGGACAAAAA
rnacentral:rRNA from 1 species